CAGUUUUGGUUCCUAACGAGACAUGAUCUAUAAGUUUAUUUUUUCGUAUGUUGCUAUGAGUCUAUGGACGAAUUUUUUUUUUUUUUUUAAUAAGUAAGACGCAUUAAGUUUGGAAUAUGCUUCCAAUUGAACUUGUCUUUAAUUCCAAAUGAAUCGAUCGGUCGGUCAACAAUGAACAUGUAUAUGCAAAACAAUAAUCAAGUCAUCCAUUGAACAAACAAACGAUAUAAUAUAUGUAUAAGUCAAGAUCUAUGUAUCUUGUAAAAACAAUUCUUG
rnacentral:lncRNA from 1 species